AUUGAACGCUGGCGGCAGGCCUAAUACAUGCAAGUCGAGCGGAUGAAGGGAGCUUUUUCCUGGCUUCAGUUGCGGACGGGUGAGUAAUGCCCAGGAAUCUGCCUGGCAUUGGGGGAUAACGUCCGUUAACGGGCGCUAAUAUCGCAUACGUUCAUAGGUAGAAAGUCGGGGAUCUUUGGUCCUCACGCUAUCAGAUGAGCCUGGGUCGGAUUAGCUAGUUGGUUGGGUAAGGGCCUACCAAGGCGACGAUCCGUAACUGAUCUGAGAGGAUGAUCAGUCACACUGGAACUGAGACACGGUCCAGACUCCUACGGGAGGCAGCAGUAGGGAAUCUUCGGCAAUGGGCGAAAGCUUGAUGCAGCCAUGCCGCGUGUGUGAAGAAGGUCUUCGGAUCGUAAAACUCUGUAAGUUGGGAGGAAGAACAGUAAAUUUAACCAUUCAUGUCUUGACGUCACCAACACAAAAAGCAACGGCUAACUUCGUG
rnacentral:rRNA from 1 species